rnacentral:rRNA from 1 species
UACGGAGGAGGCAAGCGUUAUCCGGAAUUAUUGGGCGUAAAGGGUCCGCAGGUGGUCUGGCAAGUCGGCUGUCAAAGCCCGGGGCUUAACUCCGGAGAGGCAGUGGAAACUGCCAGGCUAGAGGGCGGUAGGGGUAGAGGGAAUUCCCAGUGUAGCGGUGAAAUGCGUAGAGAUUGGGAAGAACACCGGUGGCGAAAGCGCUCUACUGGACCGUACCUGACGCUGAGGGACGAAAGCUAGGGGAGCGAAAGGG